rnacentral:rRNA from 1 species
UACGAGGGGUGCAAACGUUGCUCGGAAUCAUUGGGCGUAAAGCGCACGUAGGCGGCUUCGCAAGUCGGAUGUGAAAUACCUAGGCUCAACCAAGGACGUGCAUCCGAAACUGCGAGGCUUGAGUACAGAAGAGGAUCGCGGAAUUCCCGGUGUAGAGGUGAAAUUCGUAGAUAUCGGGAGGAACACCAGUGGCGAAGGCGGCGAUCUGGGCUGAUACUGACGCUGAGGUGCGAAAGCGUGGGGAGCAAACAGG